rnacentral:rRNA from 1 species
GAUGAACGCUGGCGGCGUGCUUAACACAUGCAAGUCGAACGGAAAGGCCCAAGCUUGCUUGGGUACUCGAGUGGCGAACGGGUGAGUAACACGUGGGUGAUCUGCCCUGCACUUCGGGAUAAGCCUGGGAAACUGGGUCUAAUACCGGAUAGGACCACAUUUUGGAUGGUGUGGUGGAAAGUUUUUCGGUGUGGGAUGAGCUCGCGGCCUAUCAGCUUGUUGGUGGGGUAAUGGCCUACCAAGGCGUCGACGGGUAGCCGGCCUGAGAGGGUGUACGGCCACAUUGGGACUGAGAUACGGCCCAGACUCCUACGGGAGGCAGCAGUGGGGAAUAUUGCACAAUGGGCGCAAGCCUGAUGCAGCGACGCCGCGUGGGGGAUGACGGCCUUCGGGUUGUAAACUCCUUUCGCUAGGGACGAAGCGAAAGUGACGGUACCUGGAGAAGAAGCACCGGCUAACUACGUG